rnacentral:lncRNA from 1 species
CCCGGCGCCGUAGAAUACAGGAGCAGAACCAAUCCCGUAGUGGGUGAUGCCGCCCAUGAGGUUCGAGAGGAAUGAGAGAACCAUGGCGGCAAAGAGUGAGGGGGUGCCCAGGGCCUUCGCCACUGACAGGAAUGCAGCAAACAUUGCUCCAAUGUGUGCAGCACCACUGGCGAAGAAAUAGUGGGAGUAGAAGUACAGCAGCACCAAGACGCUGAACGAAAGUUGCCAGGACAAACCAAGGCCUCCAACAAACUGCGAGAAACAGAAAGACAUGGUCAAUAUAGGAGAAAUUAGUAAACAGGAAAAACGCAUUCCUUUCCAUGACGUUGAUGUCAGAACUGGGUUAACCAAAGAAUAAACACAUUGGAAUAUCAGGCCCAUAAAUGCCAUUGAACUUCUAGGGAAAAAAAGCUGGGCAUUGAACUGCAUGCCUAGAUUAUUUUUAUUAUUGUCAUGCUGAUGGAUAUAUGAGCCUGCCAUUCAUACUCAAAUGUUAGAAAGAAUCAAGAUAAUUAUUUCUACUUCUGGUCUAACAAACGAAAAAAAUCUUUAUAUCUUAACUACCUACCAUCUAGCUAUCCUUCAUUGUGGACAGUGCUCCAUUUCAAGGGUGAGCAGAUAAAUGGCACAAUAAAUAGCUCCUAGAUCAGGGUCAAGAUAUGCAUGGUUAAUGUCAUUAUGUAUCAGAAUUGAAUACAAUGUGCAACUUGGUGGAACCUGCAAACAUGACAAACAAUGCCAGCAAAUGCAAUGUUUGGUGGCAUCAAAGUUCAGCACCAUGCCAUAUUGAAAUGGAGAAUAUCCACCAUGCUCAAUAUCAAUUACAGUUGGACAACACUGUAGUAAUUUGUAUGCUGUUCGAACUUCUGAAUUGUGGUGUGAGGAGAAAGUUACGGGAGGAAGAGUCAGUGUACCUUCACAACAGUCUCACUGAACCAAGCAAUCAGCCCAUAUUUGUUGAGGUAGCCAGCCAUUGCGAUAAGUGCGGCAAACCAUGUAAGGGUAUCCCAUGCCACAGACUCCGCCAAACACUCUUUCCAUGUGACAACACCUGUGAUUAGGAGCACACCUAGGCCAAGAAUUGCUGCAGACACUGCAUCCACACUUAUCAUUCCCCCAAAGAUCC